rnacentral:misc_RNA from 1 species
UGAACUUGACGAAUUCCAGACACAAAGCAGAAGAAUCACCCCCAAAAACAAAAGAAAUACCUUUCCCAAAAUAACUAAUAAACAUUACAAAAGCAAUUAAAAUACAUUAAUAACCAGUGAAGUUGACGCUGGUUGGAUGGAAUCAUACUGAUUUUAGGACACUUGCGAGAGUGGUCCACGAGUAGGUGAAAAUGCAACGCCCAACAAGAUAAAAUCUAGGCAGUGGAUUAUGGAUUAAAUGACAGGUGAUUAAAGAUCGUAAUUU